rnacentral:rRNA from 1 species
CAGCAGCCGCGGUAAUACGUAGGGGGCGAGCGUUACCCGGAUUCACUGGGCGUAAAGCGGGUGUAGGCGGCUCGGUAAGUCGGGUGUGAAAUCCCACAGCUCAACUGUGGAAUUGCGCCCGAAACUGCUGAGCUUGGGGCCGGUAGAGGGAGACGGAACUGCCGGUGUAGGGGUGAAAUCCGUAGAUAUCGGCAGGAACGCCGGUGGGGAAGCCGGUCUCCUGGGCCGCGCCCGACGCUGAGACCCGAAAGCUAGGGGAGCAAACCGGAUUAGAUACCCGGGUAGUCCUAGCCGUAAACGAUGCCCACUAGGUGUGGGGGAUUAAUUCCUCCGUGCUGUAGCUAACGCGUUAAGUGGGCCGCCUGGGGAGUACGCCCGCAAGGGUGAAACUUAAAGGAAUUGGCGGG